CCUACGGGUGACAGCAGUGAGGAAUAUUGGUCAAUGGGCGCUAGUCUGAACCAGCCAAGUAGCGUGAAGGAUGACUGCCCUAUGGGUUGUAAACUUCUUUUAUAAAGGAAUAAAACGAGGCACGUAUGCCUUUUUGCAUGUACUUUAUGAAUAAGGAUCGGCUAACUCCGUGCCAGCAGCCGCGGUAAUACGGAGGAUCCGAGCGUUAUCCGGAUUUAUUGGGUUUAAAGGGAGCGUAGAUGGGUUGUUAAGUCAGUUGUGAAAGUUUGCGGCUCAACCGUAAAAUUGCAAUUGAUACUGGCAGUCGUGAGUACAGUUGAGGUAGGCGGAAUUCGUGGUGUAGCGGUGAAAUGCUUAGAUAUCACGAAGAACCCCGAUUGCGAAGGCAGCUUACUAAACUGUAACUGACACUGAUGCUCGAAAGUGUGGGUAUCAAACAGGAUUAGAUACCCCUGUAGUC
rnacentral:rRNA from 1 species